UGGGGAAUAUUGGACAAUGGGGGCAACCCUGAUCCAGCCAUGCCGCGUGAGUGAUGAAGGCCUUCGGGUUGUAAAGCUCUUUUGGCGGGGACGAUGAUGACGGUACCCGCAGAAUAAGCCCCGGCUAACUUCGUGCCAGCAGCCGCGGUAAGACGAAGGGGGCUAGCGUUGUUCGGAAUUACUGGGCGUAGAGCGAGUGUAGGCGGUUGCCGUAGUCAGGUGUGAAAGCCUUGAGCUCAACUCAAGAAAUGCACUUGAUACUGGGUGACUAGAGGACCGGAGAGGAUAGUGGAAUUCCCAGUGUAGUGGUGAAAUACGUAGAGAUUGGGAAGAACACCAGUGGCGAAGGCGGCUAUCUGGACGGUUACUGACGCUAAGACUCGAAAGCGUGGGGAGCAAAACAGGAUUAGAUACCCUGGUAGUCCACGCCGUAAACGAUGGGUGCUAGACGUUGGCGAGCUUGCUCGUCAGUGUCGCAGCUAACGCGUUAAGCACCCCGCCUGGGG
rnacentral:rRNA from 1 species